GAUGCAUUUAAUCCAGUGGAAGGACACAUGUUAAAAUAAAGGCAUAAGUAAUUCAUUUUUCACUGAAGAUCAGGACAUUCCAGAUUUGGUCAUUUUUAAA